AUUGAACGCUGGCGGCAUGCCUUACACAUGCAAGUCGAACGGUAACGCGGGGCAACCUGGCGACGAGUGGCGAACGGGUGAGUAAUGCAUCGGAACGUGCCCAGUAGUGGGGGAUAGCCCGGCGAAAGCCGGAUUAAUACCGCAUACGACCUACGGGUGAAAGCGGGGGACCGUAAGGCCUCGCGCUAUUGGAGCGGCCGAUGUCAGAUUAGGUAGUUGGUGGGGUAAAGGCCUACCAAGCCUACGAUCUGUAGCUGGUCUGAGAGGACGACCAGCCACACUGGGACUGAGACACGGCCCAGACUCCUACGGGAGGCAGCAGUGGGGAAUUUUGGACAAUGGGCGCAAGCCUGAUCCAGCCAUGCCGCGUGCGGGAAGAAGGCCUUCGGGUUGUAACGCUUUGUCAGGGAAGAAACGCCUUAGGAUAAUACCUUGAGGUAAUGACGGUACCUGAAGAAUAAGCACCGGCUAACUACGUGCCAGCAG
rnacentral:rRNA from 1 species